rnacentral:rRNA from 1 species
UUGACCUCAAAUCAGGUAGGAUUACCCGCUGAACUUAAGCAUAUCAAUAAGCGGAGGAAAAGAAACCAACAGGGAUUGCCUUAGUAACGGCGAGUGAAGCGGCAAGAGCUCAAAUUUGAAAUCUAGCACCUUCGGUGUUCGAGUUGUAAUUUGAAGAAGGUAUCUUUGGAGUUGGCCCUUGUCUAUGUUCCUUGGAACAGGACGUCACAGAGGGUGAGAAUCCCGUGCGAUGAGGAGUCCAAUUCUAUGUAAAGUUCCUUCGAAGAGUCGAGUUGUUUGGGAAUGCAGCUCUAAGUGGGUGGUAAAUUCCAUCUAAAGCUAAAUAUUGGCGAGAGACCGAUAGCGAACAAGUACAGUGAUGGAAAGAUGAAAAGAACUUUGAAAAGAGAGUGAAAAAGUACGUGAAAUUGUUGAAAGGGAAGGGCUUUUGAUCAGACUUGGUGUUUAGUACUCUCUGCUCCUUGUGGGUGGGGCUCUUGCUUUAUACUGGGCCAGCAUCGGUUUUGAUGGCAGGAUAAUGACUUUGGAACGUGGCUUCAUUCGUGAAGUGUUAUAGCCUUUGUUGAUACUGCCUAUCGAGACCGAGGACUGCGUCUUUGACUAGGAUGCGGCGUAA